UACGUAGGUGGCGAGCGUUAUCCGGAUUUAUUGGGUUUAAAGGGUGCGUAGGCGGUUUUAUAAGUUAGAGGUGAAAUCUCGGGGCUCAACUCCGAAAUUGCCUCUAAUACUGUAGGACUAGAGAGUAGAUGCGGUAGGCGGAAUGUAUGGUGUAGCGGUGAAAUGCUUAGAGAUCAUACAGAACACCGAUUGCGAAGGCAGCUUACCAAUCUAUAUCUGACGUUGAGGCACGAAAGCGUGGGGAGCAAACAGG
rnacentral:rRNA from 1 species